AUCGCUUCUCGGCCUUUUGGCUAAGAUCAAGUGUAAAAUAUAUGAAUAUAGGUAUAUAUGCAUGUGUGUAUACAUAUAUAUGCUAAUUAGCUUUUGUGUUAUGUACAUACCAUGAAACAGGUAUCUCUGGACCAUUUGACCUGUAGAGUUUGCCAGUCUUACUUUUGCAGAUUUCAU
ensembl:snRNA U2 U2 spliceosomal RNA